rnacentral:rRNA from 1 species
CAGUGGGGAAUAUUGGACAAUGGGCGAAAGCCUGAUCCAGCAAUGCCGCGUGUGUGAAGAAGGCCUUCGGGUUGUAAAGCACUUUUGUCCGGAAAGAAAUCCUUGGCUCUAAUACAGCCGGGGGAUGACGGUACCGGAAGAAUAAGCACCGGCUAACUACGUGCCAGCAGCCGCGGUAAUACGUAGGGUGCAAGCGUUAAUCGGAAUUACUGGGCGUAAAGCGUGCGCAGGCGGUUUGCUAAGACCGAUGUGAAAUCCCCGGGCUCAACCUGGGAACUGCAUUGGUGACUGGCAGGCUAGAGUAUGGCAGAGGGGGGUAGAAUUCCACGUGUAGCAGUGAAAUGCGUAGAGAUGUGGAGGAAUACCGAUGGCGAAGGCAGCCCCCUGGGCCAAUACUGACGCUCAUGCACGAAAGCGUGGGGAGCAAACAGGAUUAGA